AACCGGUGGAAACGCCGACUAAUCCCCGAUGGGAUAUUGUGCCGCAUGGCACGAUAUUGAAAGUUACGGCGGCGACGGAUUGGCUCGCGUCCGAUUAGCUUGUUGGCGGGGUAACGGCCCACCAAGGCUACGAUCGGUAGGGGUUCUGAGAGGAAGGCCCCCCACAAUGGGACUGAGACACGGCCCAUACUCCUACGGGAGGCAGCAGUGAGGAAUAUUGGUCAAUGGGCGGAAGCCUGAACCAGCCAUGCCGCGUGCGGGAAGGAGGCCCUAUGGGCUGUGAACCGCUUUUGCCUGGGGGCAAUAAGGGCGUCGCGCACGCCCGAUGAGAGUACCAGGCGAAUAAGCAUCGGCUAACUCCGUGCCAGCAGCCGCGG
rnacentral:rRNA from 1 species